rnacentral:rRNA from 1 species
UGGGGAAUAUUGCACAAUGGGCGCAAGCCUGAUGCAGCCAUGCCGCGUGUAUGAAGAAGGCCUUCGGGUUGUAAAGUACUUUCAGCUGGGAGGAAGGUGUUGCGGUUAAUAACCGCAGCAAUUGACGUUACCCGCAGAAGAAGCACCGGCUAACUCCGUGCCAGCAGCCGCGGUAAUACGGAGGGUGCAAGCGUUAAUCGGAAUUACUGGGCGUAAAGCGCACGCAGGCGGUCUGUCAAGUCGGAUGUGAAAUCCCCGGGCUCAACCUGGGAACUGCAUUCGAAACUGGCAGGCUAGAGUCUUGUAGAGGGGGGUAGAAUUCCAGGUGUAGCGGUGAAAUGCGUAGAGAUCUGGAGGAAUACCGGUGGCGAAGGCGGCCCCCUGGACAAAGACUGACGCUCAGGUGCGAAAGCGUGGGGAGCAAACA